rnacentral:rRNA from 1 species
UGGGGAAUUUUCCGCAAUGGGCGAAAGCCUGACGGAGCAAUACCGCGUGAGGGAGGAAGGCUUUUGGGUUGUAAACCUCUUUUCUCAAGGAAGAAGAUCUGACGGUACUUGAGGAAUCAGCAUCGGCUAACUGCGAGCCAGCAGCCGCGGUAAUACGGAGGAUGCAAGCGUUAUCCGGAAUGAUUGGGCGUAAAGCGUCUGCAGGUGGCUAUGCAAGUCUGCUGUUAAAGAGAGGAGCUGAACUCCAUAAGGGCAGUGGAAACUGGAUAACUUGAGUACGUUCGGGGUAGAGGGAAUACCUGGCGUAGCGGUGAAAUGCGUAGAUAUCAGGAAGAACACCGGUGGCGAAAGCGCUCUACUAGGCCGUAACUGACACUGAGAGACGAAAGCUAAGGGAGCGAAUGGGAUUAGAUACCCCCGUAGUCC